rnacentral:sRNA from 1 species
UGGUUACCAAACCUCAAAGAAGAAGUGCAUAACCAAUCAAAAUCUUCUGUUAAAAGAUAAAUCUUACGCCGUUUUAAUGCUUUCUGCAGUCUUAGACUGGUUUGGAUCCCCUUCAAGAAUGUAUAUCAGCUUUUUGAUUCCCGAUCUCUAUUUAAAAUUACAAAUCAAGAAGACAGUGAGAAACAACCAUCAACGAAAGAUCGAAAACUUAGGAGUUGAGAGUACACUACACACACCUGAAGUCUAAGUUUUUGGUCCUUGUAGCGAUUAUCCAUAAUUGACGAGCGCAUAUCAUCAACGUUCUUCCUCUCAACAAU